GACGAACGCUGGCGGCGUGCUUAACACAUGCAAGUCGAACGGUAAGGCCCUUUCUUUGUUACACGCUUGUCUAACGGGUGAGUAACUCGUGCGUGAUUUGCCCUCCCCUUUUUUUUAAGCCUCUUCAACUGGGUCUAAUUCCUGCUAGGUCUACGCUAUUCAUGUCUUGUGGUGGUUAGCUUUUUGGGUGGGGGAUGGGCGCGCGGCCUAUCAGCUUGUUGGUGGGGUGAUGGCUUACCAAGGCGACGACGGGUAGCCGGCCUGAGUGGGUGUCCGGCCACAAUGGGACUGAGAUACGGCCCAGACUCCUACGGGAGGCAGCAGUGGGGAAUAUUGCACAAUGGGCGGAAGCCUGAUGCAGCGACGCCGCGUGGGGGAUGACGGCCUUCGGGUUGUAAACCGCUUUCAGCACAGACGAAGCGUAAGUGACGGUAAGUGGAGAAGAAGCACCGGCCAACUACGUG
rnacentral:rRNA from 1 species